GAUGAACGCUGGCGGCGUGCCUAAUACAUGCAAGUCGAGCGAACGGACGAGAAGCUUGCUUCUCUGAUGUUAGCGGCGGACGGGUGAGUAACACGUGGAUAACCUACCUAUAAGACUGGGAUAACUUCGGGAAACCGUAGCUAAUACCGGAUAAUAUUUUGAACCGCAUGGUUCAAAAGUGAAAGACGGUCUUGCUGUCACUUAUAGAUGGUUCCGCGCUGCAUUAGCUAGUUGGUAAGGUAACGGCUUACCAAGGCAACGAUGCAUAGCCGACCUGAGAGGGUGAUCGGCCACACUGGAACUGAGACACGGUCCAGACUCCUACGGGAGGCAGCAGUAGGGAAUCUUCCGCAAUGGGCGAAAGCCUGACGGAGCAACGCCGCGUGAGUGAUGAAGGUCUUCGGAUCGUAAAACUCUGUUAUUAGGGAAGAACAGAUGUGUAAGUAACUGUGCACAUCUUGACGGUACCUAAUCAGAAAGCCACGGCUAACUACGUG
rnacentral:rRNA from 1 species